AGAGUAAUCAGGGAGCUUCUUUCAAUCCAUUCAAAGGUGGGUAGAAGAUAUGGAUUUGCUGUCGGCGCAUUCAUUCAAACACAAUAGAAACACCUUCGUUUGAACUAUUGUGGCUGUAUCAAUGAAUCGAGAGAUGAUCUUGUCUUUUUCUAUAUGUGAUUGGACUGAAGGGAGCUCCCUCGUUUAUCGUU
rfam:Helianthus annuus linkage group 11, whole genome shotgun sequence.